rnacentral:tRNA from 1 species
UGGAAUAUAGCUCAGUUGGUAGGAGCAUACGACUGUUAAUCGUAGGGUCAUGAGUUCGAGUCUCGUUAUUCCAG